AUCUCUGCCCAAACCAUCCUAAACACACCCAGUCUCACCUGACCCUGGAGGCUAAGCAGGGCUGGGCCUACUUAAUGCUUGAAUGGGUGACCCCUUGGGAAAGCCAGGUGGUGUAGGCC
rnacentral:rRNA from 1 species